rnacentral:rRNA from 1 species
UGGUGAAAUGAUUUGUCUGGUUAAUUCCGAUAACGAGCGAGACCUCCGCCUGCUUAUUAGCAUUUCGAAUCUUAGGAUUCGUUCUAAUGCUUCUUAGAGGGACUAUCUGUGAUUAGCAGAGGGAAGUUGGAGGCAAUAACA